rnacentral:rRNA from 1 species
CCAGUUCGGAUUGUAGUCUGCAACCCGACUACAUGAAGCUGGAAUCGCUAGUAAUCGCGGAUCAGAAUGCCGCGGUGAAUACGUUCCCGGGUCUUGUACACACCGCCCGUCACACCAUGGGAGUCGGAAAUGCCCGAAGUCGGUGACCCAACUGAAAGGAAGGAGCCGCCGAAGGCAGGUCUGGUGACUGGGGUGAAGUCGUAACAAGGUACC